rnacentral:rRNA from 1 species
UACAGAGGGGGCGAGCGUUAAUCGGAAUUACUGGGCGUAAAGCGUGCGUAGACGGUCAUGUAAGUCGGGUGUGAAAGCCCCGGGCUCAACCUGGGAAUUGCAUUCGAGACUGUGUGGCUAGGGUGCGGAAGAGGGAAGCGGAAUUUCCGGUGUAGCGGUGAAAUGCGUAGAUAUCGGAAGGAACACCAGUGGCGAAAGCGGCUUCCUGGUCCAGCACCGACGUUCAGGCACGAAAGCGUGGGGAGCAAACAGG